GAUGAACGCUGGCGGCGUGCCUAAUACAUGCAAGUCGAGCGAACAGACGAGGAGCUUUCUCCCCUGACGUUAGCGGCGGACGGGUGAGUAACACGUGGAUAACCUACCUAUAAGACUGGGAUAACUUCGGGAAACCGGAGCUAAUACCGGAUAAUAUGUUGAAACGCAUGGUUCAACAGUGCAAGAAGGUCUUGCUGUUACUUAUAGAUGGAUCCGCGCCGCAUUAGCUAGUUGGUAAGGUAACGGCUUACCAAGGCAACGAUGCGUAGCCGACCUGAGAGGGUGAUCGGCCACACUGGAACUGAGACACGGUCCAGACUCCUACGGGAGGCAGCAGUAGGGAAUCUUCCGCAAUGGGCGAAAGCCUGACGGAGCAACGCCGCGUGAGUGAAGAAGGUCUUCGGAUCGUAAAACUCUGUUAUUAGGGAAGAACAAAUGUGUAAGUAACUAUGCACGUCUUGACGGUACCUAAUCAGAAAGCCACGGCUAACUACGUG
rnacentral:rRNA from 1 species